UGGGCUACACACGUGCUACAAUUGGGUUGGUAACAACGAGUUGCGAGUCGGUGACGGCGAGCUAAUCUCUUAAAGCCAAUCUCAGUUCGGAUUGUAGGCUGCAACUCGCCUACAUGAAGUCGGAAUCGCUAGUAAUCGCGGAUCAGCACGCCGCGGUGAAUACGUUCCCGGGCCUU
rnacentral:rRNA from 1 species